rnacentral:rRNA from 1 species
CCCUCAGGCUGAUUGGAAACCAGCCGUAGAGUGUAAAGGCAUAAGGGAGCUUGACUGCGAGAGAGACAUCUCGAGCAGAUACGAAAGUAGGUCUUAGUGAUCCGGCGGUUCCUCAUGGAAGGGCCGUCGCUCAACGGAUAAAAGGUACUCCGGGGAUAACAGGCUAAUCGCGUCCAAGAGUUCACAUCGACGACGCGGUUUGGCACCUCGAUGUCGGCUCAUCGCAUCCUGGGGCUGGAGUAGGUCCCAAGGGUUUGGCUGUUCGCCAAUUAAAGCGGUACGUGAGCUGGGUUUAGAACGUCGUGAGACAGUUCGGUCCCUAUCUUUCGUGGGCGUAGGAUAUUUGAGAGGAUCUGUCCCUAGUACGAGAGGACCGGGAUGGACGAACCGCUAGUGUGCCAGUUGUCGCGCCAGCGGCAUAGCUGGGUAGCUACGUUCGGAAUGGAUAACCGCUGAAAGCAUCUAAGCGGGAAACCAACCUCAAGAUUAGAUAUCCCUCUACUUCGGUAGACUAAAGACCCCUUGUAGACUACAAGGUUGAUAGGCCGGAUGUGUAAGUGCGGUGACGCAUUUAGCUAACCGGUACUAAUCGGUCGUGCGACUUGGCCAU